rnacentral:rRNA from 1 species
GAUGAACGCUGGCGGCGUGCCUAAUACAUGCAAGUCGAGCGAACAGAUAAGGAGCUUGCUCCUUUGACGUUAGCGGCGGACGGGUGAGUAACACGUGGAUAACCUACCUAUAAGACUGGGAUAACUUCGGGAAACCGGAGCUAAUACCAGAUAACAUAUUGAACCGCAUGGUUCAAUAGUGAAAGGCGGCUUUGCUGUCACUUAUAGAUGGAUCCGCGCCGUAUUAGCUAGUUGGUAAGGUAACGGCUUACCAAGGCAACGAUACGUAGCCGACCUGAGAGGGUGAUCGGCCACACUGGAACUGAGACACGGUCCAGACUCCUACGGGAGGCAGCAGUAGGGAAUCUUCCGCAAAGGGCGAAAGCCUGACGGAGCAACGCCGCGUGAGUGAUGAAGGUCUUCGGAUCGUAAAACUCUGUUAUCAGGGAAGAACAAAUGUGUAAGUAACUGUGCACAUCUUGACGGUACCUGAUCAGAAAGCCACGGCUAACUACGUG